AUACGUAGGUGGCAAGCGUUGUCCGGAAUUAUUGGGCGUAAAGCGCAUGUAGGCGGUUUGGUAAGUCGGUCGUGAAAAUGCGGUGCUUAACGCCGUAUGGCGAUUGAAACUGCUGAACUUGAGUGCAGGAGAGGAAAGGGGAACUCCCAGUGUAGCGGUGAAAUGCGUAGAUAUUGGGAAGAACACCGGUGGCGAAGGCGCCUUUCUGGACUGUGUCUGACGCUCAGAUGUGAAAGCCAGGGUAGCGAACGGGAUUAGAUACCCCGGUAGUCCUGGCUGUAAACGAUGGGUACUAGGUGUGGGAGGUAUCGACUCCUUCCGUGCCGGAGUUAACACAAUAAGUACCCCGCCUGGGGAGUACGGCCGCAAGGCUUAAACUCAAAGGAAUUGACGGGG
rnacentral:rRNA from 1 species